rnacentral:lncRNA from 1 species
GGGCAGGUGGGUGUGGCCUCGGUGGCUCUGGCUGCCAGGAGUGGAGCCGUUUCCUCGGCCACACCUUCCACCACGACCUUCAGCCUCGCCUCGGUCCCAGAGCAGUGGCGUUGGCCGACCGUGGACUGAAGGUCUGGAACCGUGAGCCCCAGGUGAGCCUCUCCUCCUCUACGUUGCUCUUGUCAGCUGUUUUGGUCACAGCAAUGAAGAGCUGACUAGCACGGCCACUGAUGCGUCCAAGGAGCGCUCCUGUUCCAAGCAGUCACCAUGUCCUCCCUGAAUGCCUCCCAGGCCAGAUCAGGCUGGUCACUUCUCUUGGGGCAAUCAAUGAGUUUAUCCAGUGGACGAGGGGCAGGGUAUCAGGCAGGCACCAGGGGCUGGCUUCAACUUCUGGCCGCUGUGUACGUAGAGAGUUUUACCGACGUACUUACAGAGAAGAGCUGGACGGGGUUCCCUGUGCUGCCGGCCAGCAGCACCUCCGGCUAUUUACUGAGAUGGCUUCUCUGGCUUCCACUCCAUGGUGUGACUUCACUGGCGGAACUUCCCUGGGCACCAGCUCUGUGCCAGGUCCUGGGGAUGGAUGACGCCUGGGCACUCUUUGUUUUUUCGGAACUCGGAGCCUCGGAGCCCUGGGAGAGGCAGACCUCGAUGCAGGACUAGGCAAGGGGGGCUCUGAGACCAGGUGGAAGCCAGGGGCUGUGGGAGCCCAAGGGACGCAGCUGCAGGACUCUGCGUGACCAAGGAGUAUGGCCGGCUACCCACCGGGAGAGGGGGAAGCCGGCCGGCUUGUGCUUGCUCGGCAGGGAGAAUGCCCAAGCCAGCAACUUCAAGGCUAAUUAAGUGAAAAAUGAUGCGAUUGAUUUGUUUGCUCCCAGCCAAAUAGAACUUGGUCAGCAAGGAAAAGCAAUGAGUUUAAGAUUUCUGUGCUCUGAGCCUGCAGGAUGGUUCCAGCAUCCGCCUCCACCCACGCGUUGUCCUGUUGAAAGGCAAUACCACUUAAAUAUUUAAAAACGCGUUUCUCCAACGGGGCGAGGAGGUUGCACUGUCUGCAUUGUGAGGCGGGUGUCGAAAAGGUCCUGGGAAAUGGCCUUAUCUGUUUAGGUAGCCAGCUCGGU